rnacentral:rRNA from 1 species
CCCUUAGAUGUUCUGGGCGGCCCGCGCACUACAAUGGCGCUUUCAGCGAGUUCCUAUGUUGAAUUUUCCUGGGUAUUCUUGGAAGCGGCGUCUUGACUUGGGAUAGAUCCUUGUAAUUGUUGGUUUUGAACGAGGAAUUCCUUGUAAUCGCGGUUGAUCAGCUCGCGUUGAAUACGUCCCUGCCCUUUGUACACACCGCCCGUCGCUCCUACCGAUGAAUCGUCCGGUGAAGUUCACAGAGUGGCGGUUCGUGGAGUUGCUCGCGAAGUGAAAUGGACCUCACGAUGUAGAGGAAGGAGAAGUCGUAACA